UACAUAGGGACCAAGCGUUGUUCGGAUUUACUGGGCGUAAAGGGCGCGUAGGCGGCGUAAUAAGUCACUUGUGAAAUCUCCGGGCUUAACUCGGAGCGGCCAAGUGAUACUGUCAUGCUAGAGUGCAGAAAGGGCAAUCGGAAUUCUCGGUGUAGCGGUGAAAUGCGCAGAUAUCAGGAAGAACACCAAUGGCGAAGGCAGCUCUCUGGGACGGUACUGACACUGAGACGCGAAAGCGUGGGGAGCGAACAGG
rnacentral:rRNA from 1 species